rnacentral:rRNA from 1 species
CCUCCCACCCGUGUUUAUUUACCUCGUUGCUUCGGCGGGCCCGCCUUAACUGGCCGCCGGGGGGCUCACGCCCCCGGGCCCGCGCCCGCCGAAGACACCCCCGAACUCUGCCUGAAGAUUGUCGUCUGAGUGAAAAUAUAAAUUAUUUAAAACUUUCAACAACGGAUCUCUUGGUUCCGGCAUCGAUGAAGAACGCAGCGAAAUGCGAUACGUAAUGUGAAUUGCAAAUUCAGUGAAUCAUCGAGUCUUUGAACGCACAUUGCGCCCCCUGGUAUUCCGGGGGGCAUGCCUGUCCGAGCGUCAUUGCUGCCCUCAAGCCCGGCUUGUGUGUUGGGCCCCGUCCUCCGAUUCCGGGGGACGGGCCCGAAAGGCAGCGGCGGCACCGCGUCCGGUCCUCGAGCGUAUGGGGCUUUGUCACCCGCUCUGUAGGCCCGGCCGGCGCUUGCCGAUCAACCCAAAUUUUUAUCCAGGUUGACCUCGGAUCAGG